rnacentral:rRNA from 1 species
AUGGACGCGCAAAAGAUUCUAGAUCAUUUGAUAAACCGCUCAACUGCAGUAAACUUUGACAUGAGCUGCACAAAGCCACAGAUCUGGGAUGCACAACAAUUGUAAGUCCCGCUCCACCUACUCCUGCUCGUGCCUGUCCUUGCCUUCAUAACCCUCAUUCUCUUCGCCUCAAGACCGCCUGAGUCGUCCAGCGUCGCACGGCUCCCGCCGGUGAUCGGCCACCUGCACCACCUCGCGGGCGCGAUCCCACACCAAGCAUUUCGCGACCUGGCGCGGCGCCACGACCCGCUGAUGCUGCUCCGUUUCGGUGAGGUGACGGCCGUGGUGGCCUCGUCCCCGGACACGACGCGCGAGAUCUUGAAGAUCCACGACCCGACCUUCGCGUCUCGGCCCGUCGGCCCCAUGUCGCGCCUCUGGUUCCAGGGCUCCGAGGGCCUCGUCUUCGCGCCCAUCAGCGACGCGUGGCGCCAGCUCCGCAAGAUCUGCACCCGGGAGCUCCUCAGCGCCCGCAGCGUCCACUCCUUCCGCCCUGUCCGCCAGGACGAGCUCGGCUGCCUCCUCCGCGUUGUCGCCUUCUCCUCGCCGUCGCCGUCUGAGGGUCGCCCAAUGAACCUGACAGAGAUUAUCGCGGCCUACAUCACGGACUCCACUGUGCGCGCCAUCAUCGGCAGCAGGCCGUUCAAGGGCUGCGAUGCGUGCCUGAAGCUGUUCGAGGACAUGUUCCGCACGAGGCCCGGGCUGAGCCUGCCGGACCUGUUUCCGUCAUCGCGCCUCGCGAUGCUCGUCAGCCGCGAGCCCGGUGGGAUCAUGGACGCCAUUAUCCAGGACCACCGGUACAGGAAAGCCGCCGUCUUCCUAGCACCCACUGACCACCGAGAACAUAAAGACAUGUUCGCCGUCGGCAGCGAGACUGCAGCGACGGUGCUGCAGUGGGUAAUGGCAGAGCUCAUGCGGAACCCGAGGGUUCGGCAUAAGGCGCAGGAGGAGGUCCGGCGAGCACUGGCCGACCACAGCGAGGUGACGGAGGAAAGCCUCGGCAACAUCCAGUACCUACACAUGGUCGUCAAGGAGUCUCUCCGGCUGCACGUGUCAGGCCCGCUGCUGACGCUCCAUCAGUGCAGGAGCCCAUGCCAGGUGCUCGGGUACGACGUGCCCGUGGGCGCCACGGUGCUCGUGAACUCGUGGGCGAUCGCCAGGGACCCUGCACACUGGGACGCGCCGGAGGAGUUUCUGCCGGAGUGGUUUGAUCAGGAGCAAGGCGGCGCCACGAGGGACUUCAUGGGCACAAACUUCGAGUUCAUACCAUUCGGAGCAGGACGAAGGAUGUGCCCGGGGAUGAUGUUUGGGCUGGCGCACAUCAAGCUCGCGCUCGCCGCGCUGCUGUUCCACUUCAAUCUGGAGCUGCCUGCGGGCGUGGAUGCGGCGGGGUUGGACAUGAUGGAGGAGGCUGGCAUCACCACGUGGAGGAGGUCCGAGCUUCUCGUGGUGGCCACCACGCUUGUCCCUUUACCAGAGUAA